GUGCAGCGUUGAGUGGUUCUUGUUGGAGGUAGAGCACUGGAUGGUCUAGGGGGCUUAUCGGCUUACCGAAAUCAGCCAAACUCCGAAUGCUGGCAAGUGUAGCGUGGCAGUGAGACGGCGGGGGAUAAGCUUCGUCGUCGAGAGGGAAACAGCCCAGAUCAUCAGCUAAGGCCCCUAAGUGGUGACUCAGUGGGAAAGGAUGUGGAGUUGCGUAGACAACCAGGAGGUUGGCUUGGAAGCAGCCAUCCUUGAAAGAGUGCGUAAUAGCUCACUGGGCUAGUGAUCCUGCGCCGAAAAU
rnacentral:rRNA from 14 species